rnacentral:lncRNA from 1 species
CAGAACGUCACUGGCAGAUCUCGCCUGAGAGUUUUGACGCUUGUAACUCUGCCCUGGAAAGGUGAAUCAACUUUUAUUUUGAUUCAUGUGUUUUUCCAGGUUCCUUUAGCCUAAAUGCAUAAAAGUCAGAGAAAGUCAUCACCAUAAUACUGAUAACAACAAUGACAAAGAUAUACACAUACAGUCAGUGGCUGAACACCCACCAGCAAGAUUGCUGGAAACCAAGCCGCACCACACCUGCCGGAGCAUCCAGGACCAUCUACUCAGUGCAGGCUCAGCAGCCAUGCCUACCUUUGUCCAUCCCAGGGCUAGGCCUGGUCACUUUCAGGACACUGAGACUCUUUCCUGCCGUCUACAUCAAAAAAAGGGACCACCCGCAGCAGAGGCAAAGACUUCAAGAAUGUGCCCUGAUGGACAGUACUUACCUCCCUCUGUCCAGGAGGACAGGAACAGCAGAAACUCUCACUAUCUAACAAGAGGAGAAACAAGGUUGGAUGUCUCCAGAAGUUGUGAAAGUCAGAGAAAUCAUACGAAUAAACAGACACUAAGCUCUGGUGCAGUCUAAGUGAUUUAUGUUCACUGUAUCUUUACAAUAAUCCUGGGGUUUAAGUACUGUUACUCUCCACUUCCAAAGUAGACAAGUAAAUAGCAGACAAGUAAAUGGAGGCUCACCAUGGCUCUAUAACUGUCCCAUGGUCACACAGGCCAAAGCACAGAGGAAAAUGACGGAUGCAUCCCUCCCCUUUUGCUUUAGGAAGGGUGGUCCCCAGGACCUGGUCUGGAAGACAGAAAAAAAAUUAAAAAGAGCUGGACUACUCAGCAUAAUAAAAUGAUGGAGGGUUGCCAAAUUGGCCCUAGCACUUGAAGAAAGAGG